GGGCAGAUGGCCGAGCGGUCUAGUGAUCUAUUCGUAGGCGUGGGUUCGAAUCCCACUCUGCUCA
rfam:Rhizoclosmatium globosum strain JEL800 BCR33scaffold_65, whole genome shotgun sequence.